GACGAACGCUGGCGGCGUGCUUAACACAUGCAAGUCGAACGGAAAGGCCCUGCUUUUGUGGGGUGCUCGAGUGGCGAACGGGUGAGUAACACGUGAGUAACCUGCCCUUGACUUUGGGAUAACUUCAGGAAACUGGGGCUAAUACCGGAUAGGAGCUCCUGCUGCAUGGUGGGGGUUGGAAAGUUUCGGCGGUUGGGGAUGGACUCGCGGCUUAUCAGCUUGUUGGUGGGGUAGUGGCUUACCAAGGCUUUGACGGGUAGCCGGCCUGAGAGGGUGACCGGCGACAUUGGGACUGAGAUACGGCCCAGACUCCUACGGGAGGCAGCAGGGGGGAAUAUUGCACAAUGGGCGGAAGCCUGAUGCAGCAACGCCGCGUGCGGGAUGAUGGCCUUCGGGUUGUAAACCGCUUUCGCCUGUGACGAAGCGUGAGUGACGGUAAUGGGUAAAGAAGCACCGGCUAACUACGUG
rnacentral:rRNA from 1 species